rnacentral:rRNA from 1 species
UACAGAGGGGGCAAGCGUUGUUCGGAAUUACUGGGCGUAAAGGGCGCGUAGGCGGCCCGUUAAGUCGAACGUGAAAUCCCCAGGCUCAACCUGGGAACUGCGUCCGAUACUGGCGGGCUUGAAUCCGGGAGAGGGAUGCGGAAUUCCAGGUGUAGCGGUGAGAUGCGUAGAUAUCAGGAGGAACACCAGCGGCGAAGGCGGCGCUCUGGGCCGGAACUGACGCUGAGGAGCGAAAGCGUGGGUAGCAAACAGG